CUUCAGGUGGUUAUAGCACGAGGGUUCCACCUCUUCCCAUUCCGAACAGAGAAGUUAAGCCUCGUCACGCCGAUGGUACUGCGUAACAGUGGGAGAGUAGGUAGCCGCCGUUUUUA
rnacentral:rRNA from 1 species